AACGAACGCUGGCGGCAGGCUUAACACAUGCAAGUCGAGCGCCCCGCACGGGGCGCGGCCGACGGGCGAGUAACGCGUGGGAAUCUACCCACCUAUACGGAACAACGCAUGGAAAACUGUGCUAAUACCGUAUACCUCCUUCGGGAGAAAGAGUUAUCGGAGAUGGAUGAGCCCGCGUCGGAUGAGCUAGUUGGUGGGGUAAAGGCCUACCAAGGCGACGAUCCAUAGCUGGUCUGAGAGGAUGAUCAGCCACACUGGGACUGAGACACGGCCCAGACUCCUACGGGAGGCAGCAGUGGUGAAUAUUGGACAAUGGGCGCAAGCCUGAUCCAGCCAUGCCGCGUAAGUGAUGAAGGCCCUAGGGUUGUAAAGCUCUUUCACCGGUGAAGCUAAUGACGGUAACCGGAGAAGAAGCCCCGGCUAACUUCGUGCCAGCCGCCGCCGUAAGAC
rnacentral:rRNA from 1 species